GAUGAACGCUAGCUACAGGCUUAACACAUGCAAGUCGAGGGACCGGCGCACGGGUGAGUAACACGUAUCCAACCUGCCCUUUACUAGGGGAUAGCCUUUCGAAAGAAAGAUUAAUACCCGAUGUAAAGGAUGGGGAUGUGUUCCAUUAGGUUGUUGGUGAGGUAAUGGGUCACCAAGCCUUCGAUGGAUAGGGGUUCUGAGAGGAAGUUCCCCCACAUUGGAACUGAGACACGGACCAAACUCCUACGGGAGUCAUCAGUGAGGAAUACUGGUCAAUGGGCGUUAGCCUGAACCAGCCAAGUAGCGUGAAGGAUGAAUGCUUAUGGGUCGUAAACUUCUUUUAUAUAAGAAUAUGUAUUAUAUGAAUAAGGAUCGGCUAACUCCGUGCCAGCAGCCGCGGUAAUAC
rnacentral:rRNA from 1 species